CUGACACACUGGCAGACUCACAUCUGUGGACAUUUUACGUAAAAGACAAGUAAUGGGAGAAGAACAGAAAUGCCAGGCUAAUCACACAUGAUGCCUACUAACAUUUUUUCCCCUGCUUUGCUACGGAGUCCUCCUAAUCUAGAGGAACCCCCCCACCAGUGGAAUUCAACGGCAAAACUCCCAUGUACUCAACAGGACAGGACUCCUGAAACCCAAACCGCUCAGUUGCUGAGGUAUUCCCACCGAAUCCAAAGCUACUCACAUACACUGAGACUUGUUUAAUGGACUACAUUAAAGGACUACUAUGUGUGCUCAACAAAUUGCAGGAUCAAACUGCCUGCCAAAUGACUAACAUAGGACUGCAGCUGCUUGACUUGGCCAAAUUUAGAGUGUACCGAGAAAGGUUGCUAUUAUAUGGCUAUUCUGCCCUGGGGACUCUUGGGGCUCUGGCUCAGAUGCAGCAGAGGAUUAAUAUUGGAUGGCUGAGAUGGCUCCUGCACCAGCCAUGUGCUCUGGACAGCCAGUGGGAAUAUCUCCCUAUGGGAUGGAGCCACAACUGAUGUGUGGGCAACUUGUACCCCAGUCCACCCCAAGGUGGGCAGAAAUUUAUGCGGGUCCACCCACAGUACAUCAAGCUGCAGUGGAAGGGUGGAAUAGCUGCUUUGGUUGCAGAAGGUGUGUUGGAUUGGGGUAUUCAUUCGUCUCAGUUGUUUGUCGUGUAUUUGUCCUUCGGGUAGUGGUUUAUCUUCAGAGGUGCGUGCGGUGUCUGUAAGAUGCAUUACCAAGAUGAAGAGGAGCCAACGCACUCACAGAUGGUGAAGCCAAGAAGGGAAUCGGGAAAACUGAGAUUCAGACAUGAAAAGAGAGCUCUGCCACUCCUAAUUCUGGGAGUAAGGAAGUCUGUGAAAGCGGGAAGCUGGAGAAAGAUGCAUUAUAUGCUGCAUACUUUAUUUUAUUCUGAAAUGGCGCAUGGAGGAGCUACAGAUAAGAUUAAAGGAGAAUCGAAGGUGCCAGGACUAAAGAGGGAUCAGUGCAUAAACCUCCAGUCCAGAAAAUGAUUUGUUACUUUGUUUUUCAGUCCCUUGCUCUGAAAAGAAGGAGGGCGAAGAUGUGAGAGAUCAAAACAGGUGGUGUGGAGGAAUCAGCUCCCAUGGCUUGCGAGUGUGUGAGUGCGGCUGGGACAUGGCAAAGGUGUAAAGAGCCUCUGAGCCAAAAGCGAGGCUGGCAGUGAGCAGCGAGUGCAGAAAUCUUGAGGUGGAGGUGAAGGCUGGAUGGAAAGCCAAGCCAACCCAGUUUGGCAUGGGGAAAAGAUAAUUUACAGAGGGGGAAAGGAAGUGAACAAAAAUGGAAUAAAGCAUGUUGAAGAAUAGAAUGUAAUUUAGCAAAAAAGGGUCUUGCAUUUGUUACGUUUAGUUUGAGAGCAAAGACUCCACGUGUGGGAGUCAGUCCAAGACUGUAAGUUAAAAAAGGGUAAGAAAACAUACCAGCAGGAGUGCUGAAUUGAGAUCAAGAGCAAGCAUCCUUACAGGUCACUGGAAAAUCAGCGUCUGCCAGUCAUUACCUCACUGAGACCACAGAUAGCUGCUAGCCAAAGUGUAAAGAAAAAGCACAUUAAUCUCAAGAUAUCUCUGCAUGUUAAUUCUAGAUCUAUGAUGAUAUACUGAUGAUACCGAGUGAGAUCCUUGGAUCUGAAGAGUAGUGCCUGAGCUGUGAUUCAGGAAUAGCCUGCAGCCAUCUGCUCCAAUGUUUCAUCACACAGGUGUCUGCCCCAGCCCUGUGGCCCAGCUCCCAGUAGGAAAAACAGGAUUUACCCUGUAAGGGGGGACAGAAGAAUGCCUUUAGCUCCACAGAGAAAACACAGUGCGGAGUUUGAGAAGAGACAGCUCAUUUCUAUGGCAGUUGUUGCGCAGUGAAGUUCUUACAGCUCCAGCGGAAGAUGCCAGUGGUGGGGCUGGCUGCUGUUUUCUUACAUCUUGACAAAAGUGCAACUACAAAUCACAAGCUUGGGAAAGCUGAAAAUGAAGCAGAGGCCUGGACUCCAAAUGUUCUUUGUUUUAUGGGGUACAGUGAAACAAUGGUAGAAGCAGUAAGCAG
ensembl:lncRNA